GGAAGGAUCAUUAACAAUGGAACAUUAACAAAGAUGGUCCGCUUCGUAAAAACAGAAUCAUAACUUGUGUGCACUCACUGAAACGGUCUGAUGCCUUGGCAGCGCACGCAGCGUCUGGACGACGGCGGGUUCAUGACCCGCGCCUUCCAGCGGGGAACCGACAAUUGCUUGGUUUCCCGGCCUGCCAAGGUGAUUCAAUAUCAAACCUUGACGCAUCCAAAUUUUUUUGCCUAAAAUUCGUUUUUGAAAUACAAACCAAAAACAACUUUCAACAACGGAUCUCUUGGUUCUCGCAUCGAUGAAGAACGCAGCGAAAUGCGAUAAGUAGUGUGAAUUGCAGAAUUCAGUGAAUCAUCGAAUCUUUGAACGCACAUUGCACUCUCUGGUAUUCCGGAGAGUAUGCCUGUUUCAGUAUCAGUAAAGUCACCUCAAGCCAACAAUCUUGCUGUUGUUUUGGUCUUGGAACUGAGCCUUGCAGCAACAAUCUCCCCUUUAAAGGAGAGCGGAGCGGCUGGCUUGAAAUGUAGCCACGGCAGGAUCUAGGUUAAACCCCGAGCGAAAAGCGUCGUAGUUGGCUCUUGCGCCAUCUUCGCUGAAAGCCCGGCUGGAGCUGGUCCGUGUUUUUUGCAGGAAAAAAUAGUUGGAGGGAGGGCCCUUUUGUGCCCCAUCCAAAAACUUGAUCUGAAAUCAGGUAGGGCUACCCGCUGAACUUAAGCAUAUUAAUAAGCGGAGGAAAAGAAACUAACAAGGAUUCCCCUAGUAACGGCGAGUGAAGCGGGAAGAGCUCAAAUUUAAAAUCUCACUGCUUCGCAGUGCGAGUUGUAGUUUAAAGAAGCGUUUUCGGUGGGCGCCUGGGUAUAAGUCCUUUGGAACAGGGCAUCAUAGAGGGUGAGAAUCCCGUUCAUGACCCGGUGCUGCCUGCUAUGUGAUGCGCUUUCAAAGAGUCGGGUUGUUUGGGAAUGCAGCCCAAAAUGGGUGGUAAAUUUCAUCUAAGGCUAAAUAUUUGCGAGAGACCGAUAGCGAACAAGUACCGUGAGGGAAAGAUGAAAAGAACUUUGAAAAGAGAGUUAAAAAGUACGUGAAAUUGUUGAAAGGGAAACGUUUGAAACCAGUCAUGCUGGCGGGAAAUCAACCCCCCUUCUGGGGGGUGCACUUUCCUGUUGGCAGGUCAGCGUCAGUUUCGAUCGCCGGAAAAAAGCUUAGGGAAUGUGGCUCCUCUCGGGGAGUGUUAUAGCCCUGGUUAAUACGGUGGUUGGGACUGAGGAACGCAGGGCAUGCCUUUAAGGCUGGGUACUCCGGUGCUCGUGCCCGCCCCGCGGUGGACAGCUUGCUGACCUCCGUUGGGACCUGGGUGCGAUCCGUCGGAUAACCACAUAUGUCCUUAGGUCGCUGACUUAAUGGUUUUAAAUGACCCGUCUUGAAACACGGACCAAGGAGUCUAACAUAUAUGCGAGUGUUUGGGUGGCAAAACCCAUGCGCGUAAUGAAAGUGAACGUAGGUGCGAUCCGCAAGGAGCAGCAUCGACCGAUCUGGAUAUUUUUUGAUAGAUUUGAGUAUGAGCAUAUCUGUUGGGACCCGAAAGAUGGUGAACUAUGCCUGAAUAGGGUGAAGCCAGAGGAAACUCUGGUGGAGGCUCGUAGCGAUUCUGACGUGCAAAUCGAUCGUCAAAUUUGGGUAUAGGGGCGAAAGACUAAUCGAACCAUCUAGUAGCUGGUUCCUGC
rnacentral:misc_RNA from 1 species